CUACGACAUGUUGAUUUAGUUU
rnacentral:miRNA from 15 species